UACGUAGGGGGCAAGCGUUGUCCGGAUUUAUUGGGCGUAAAGAGCUCGUAGGCGGUUCCGUAAGUCGUGAAGUCAAAUCUCUGGGCUCAACCCAGAAUCGCUUCCGAUACUGCGGUGACUGGAGUCCGGUAGGGGAGUGUGGAAUUCCUGGUGUAGCGGUGAAAUGCGCAGAUAUCAGGAGGAACACCAACAGCGAAGGCAGCACUCUGGGCCGGUACUGACGCUGAGAAGCGAAAGCAUGGGGAGCGAACAGG
rnacentral:rRNA from 1 species